GAAAUGCGAUAAUUAAUGUGUAUUGCAGAAUUCAGUGAAUCAUCGAGUCUUUGAACGCACAUUGCGCCCCCUGGUAUUCCGGGGGGCAUGCCUGUCCGAGCGUCAUUGCUGCCCUCAAGCACGGCUUGUGUGUUGGGCUUCCGUCCCUGGCAACGGGGACGGGCCCAAAAGGCAGUGGCGGCACCAUGUCUGGUCCUCGAGCGUAUGGGGCUUUGUCACCCGCUCCCGUAGGUCCAGCUGGCAGCUAGCCUCGCAACCAAUCUUUUUAACCAGGUUGACCUCGGAUCAGGUAGGGAUACCCGCUGAACUUAAGC
rnacentral:misc_RNA from 1 species